rnacentral:rRNA from 1 species
ACUUAAACCCGGAGAGGAAGCAGUGGCUAACUCUGUGCCAGCAGCCGCGGUAAUACAGAGACUGCAAGCGUUAUUCGGAUUCACUGGGCGUAAAGGGUGCGCAGGCGGUUGGGUGUGUCAGAUGUGAAAUCCCGAGGCUCAACCUCGGAACUGCGUCUGAAACUACUCGACUAGAGUACUGGAGAGGGUAACGGAAUUCACGGUGUAGCAGUGAAAUGCGUAGAUAUCGUGAGGAACACCAGAGGCGAAGGCGGUUACCUGGACAGUUACUGACGCUCAGGCACGAAAGCAUGGGGAGCAAAAGGGAUUAGAUACCCCUGUAGUCCAUGCCCUAAACGGUGCACACUAGGUCUUAGCGGAUUCGACCCCACUAGGGCCCAAGCUAACGCGUUAAGUGUGCCGCCUGAGGACUACGGUCGCAAGACUAAAACUCAAAGGAAUUGACGGGGGCCCGCACAAGCGGUGGAGCAUGUGGCUCAAUUCGAUGCAACGCGAAGAACCUUACCAGGCCUUGACAUGCACUAGACCGACUCUGAAAGGAGUCUUCCCUUCGGGGCUGGUGCACAGGUGCUGCAUGGCUGUCGUCAGCUCGUGUCGUGAGAUGUUGGGUUAAGUCGCGCAACGAGCGCAACCCCUGUCCUUAGUUGCCAUCAGGUAAAGCUGGGCACUCUAGGGAGACAAACCCUCUCUGAGGGUGGGAAGGUGGGGAUGACGUCAAGUCAGGAUGGCCCUUACGGCCUGGGCUGCACACGUGCUACAAUGCUCGGUACAGAGGGACGCAAGACCGCGAGGUGGAGCGAAUCCCAAAAACCGAGCCCAGUUCAGAUUGCAGUCUGCAACUCGACUGCAUGAAGCCGGAAUCGCUAGUAAUGGCGUAUCAGCUACGACGCCGUGAAUACGUUCCCGGGCCUUGUACACACCGCCCGUCACGUCAUGAAAGCCGGUUUUGCCCGAAGUGCGUUUGCCAACCAGCAAUGGAGGCGGCGCCCUAAGGGAGGCUGGUGAUUGGGACGAAGUCGUAACAAGGUAACCGU